CAGUCGCCGCGGGAAUACGGAGGGGGCUAGCGUUGUUCGGAAUUACUGGGCGUAAAGCGCACGUAGGCGGCUUGGUAAGUUAGAGGUGAAAGCCCGGAGCUCAACUCCGGAAUUGCCUCUAAGACUGCCGAGCUAGUAGGUGAGAGAGGUAAGAGGAAUUCCGAGUGUAGGGGUGAAAUUCGUAGAUAUUCGGAAGAACACCAGUGGCGAAGGCGGCUUACUGGCUCAUUCUAGACGCUGAGGUGCGAAAGCGUGGGGAGCAAACAGGAUUAGAUACCCCUGUAGUCCCUGUCUCUUAUAU
rnacentral:rRNA from 1 species